CAGCAGAGAGCUACACUGAUCCCAUUCAGCUCUGAGUGACUCAGUCACUUCACAUCUCUAUCAACAUGCUGCUCUCUAUCUUGUCUCUCCUAGCACUGCUUUUAGGGGAAACAUCAGCGCAGACAAUUGAGCCUCUUGUAGGAGAAGUGCAUGUUUCAGAGGGUGAUCAUGUUACUCUGUCCUGCAACUACAGUAGCACUACUUACCCUCUUCAGUGGUAUCGUCAGUUUCCCAGAUCCAGGCCAGAGUUUCUCCUGUACGUUACCCUACAAGGAACUAUGAGUGAUCCUCGUCCUCCUCGUAUGUCUGCUGAAGUGUUUACUGACAAAAUGCAGGUGGACCUGGAGAUUUCCUCUGCUGCAGUAUCAGACUCUGCCCUUUACUACUGUGCCCUGCAGCCCACAGUGACAGGAAACCCAGAUAGACUGUACAAAAACCUGCCAGUGUUCCCCUUAAACCCACUGUGUCAGCUUUACACUAUUGUUUAUACUCUCUCUGGCAUUUUCAUGUUUGUUGCUGCAUAA